AAGGAUCAUUAUCGAAUUAUAAGCGAGGGUUGUCGCUGGCCUCGAAAGAGGCAUGUGCACGCCCGAGCUCUUAAAUCCACAACACACCUGUGAACCCACCGUAGGCCUUCGGGCUUAUGUAUCAUAUACUCUGAAUGUGUCAUAGAAUGUUCAUGUUGCCUUAAAACGCAAUCAAAUACAACUUUCAACAACGGAUCUCUUGGCUCUCGCAUCGAUGAAGAACGCAGCGAAAUGCGAUAAGUAAUGUGAAUUGCAGAUUUUCAGUGAAUCAUCGAAUCUUUGAACGCACCUUGCGCUCCUUGGUAUUCCGAGGAGCAUGCCUGUUUGAGUGUCAUUAAAUUCUCAACCCCACCGAUUUGCUUCGGGGGGAUUGGACUUGGAGCGUGCUGGCGAAGGUCGGCUCCUCUUUAAAUGCAUCAGUGGAGAGAAACUUGCCCCAGUGUGAUAAUCCUGUUGCGCUGUGGUGGGCGAAAGUCUGCUUCCAACCGUCCCUCCGGGG
rnacentral:rRNA from 1 species